rnacentral:rRNA from 1 species
AUUGAACGCUGGCGGCAUGCUUUACACAUGCCAGUCGAACGGCAGCGCGGGCUUCGGCCUGGCGGCGAGUGGCGAACGGGUGAGUAAUGCAUCGGAACGUGCCCAGUAGUGGGGGAUAGCCCGGCGAAAGCCGGAUUAAUACCGCAUACGACCUGAGGGUGAAAGCGGGGGACCGAAAGGCCUCGCGCUAUUGGAGCGGCCGAUGUCGGGUUAGCUAGUUGGUGGGGGAAAGGCUUACCAAGGCGAGGAUCCGUAGCUGGUCUGAGAGGACGACCAGCCACACUGGGACUGAGACACGGCCAAGACUCCUACGGGAGGCAGCAGUGGGGAAUUUUGGACAAUGGGGGCAACCCUGAUCCAGCCAUGCCGCGUGCGGGAAGAAGGCCUUCGGGUUGUAAACCGCUUUUGUUCGGGAAGAAAUCCUCUGGGCUAAUACCCCGGGGGGAUGACGGUACCGGAAGAAUAAGCACCGGCUAACUACGUG